rnacentral:rRNA from 1 species
UACGGAGGGUGCAAGCGUUGUUCGGAAUUACUGGGCGUAAAGCGCGUGUAGGUGGCUUAUUAUGUCAGGUGUGAAAUCCCUCGGCCUAACCGAGGAAGUGCGCCUGAAACUGAUAAGCUUGAGUACGAGAGAGGAGGACGGAAUUCCCAGUGUAGAGGUGAAAUUCGUAGAUAUUGGGAGGAACACCGGCGGCGAAAGCGGUUCUCUGGAUCGAUACUGACGCUAAGACGAGAAAGCGUGGGGAGCAAACAGG